UACGUAGGGUGCAAGCGUUAAUCGGAAUUACUGGGCGUAAAGCGUGCGCAGGCGGUUUUGUAAGUCUGUCGUGAAAUCCCCGGGCUCAACCUGGGAACUGCGUUUGUGACUGUAUGACUAGAGUACGGUAGAGAGGGGUGGAAUUCCUGGUGUAGCAGUGAAAUGCGUAGAUAUCAGGAGGAACAUCGAUGGCGAAGGCAGCCCCUUGGACCUGUACUGACGCUCAUGCACGAAAGCGUGGGGAGCAAACAGG
rnacentral:rRNA from 1 species